CGAGCGAACGGACGAGAAGCUUGCUUCUCUGAUGUUAGCGGCGGACGGGUGAGUAACACGUGGAUAACCUACCUAUAAGACUGGGAUAACUUCGGGAAACCGGAGCUAAUACCGGAUAAUAUUUUGAACCGCAUGGUUCAAAAGUGAAAGACGGUCUUGCUGUCACUUAUAGAUGGAUCCGCGCUGCAUUAGCUAGUUGGUAAGGUAACGGCUUACCAAGGCAACGAUGCAUAGCCGACCUGAGAGGGUGAUCGGCCACACUGGAACUGAGACGCGGUCCAGACUCCUACGGGAGGCAGCAGUAGGGAAUCUUCCGCAAUGGGCGAAAGCCUGACGGAGCAACGCCGCGUGAGUGAUGAAGGUCUUCGGAUCGUAAAACUCUGUUAUUAGGGAAGAACAUAUGUGUAAGUAACUGUGCACAUCUUGACGGUACCUAAUCAGAAAGCCACGGCUAACUACGUGCCAGCAGCCGCGGUAAUACGUAGGUGGCAAGCGUUAUCCGGAAUUAUUGGGCGUAAAGCGCGCGUAGGCGGUUUUUUAAGUCUGAUGUGAAAGCCCACGGCUCAACCGUGGAGGGUCAUUGGAAACUGGAAAACUUGAGUGCAGAAGAGGAAAGUGGAAUUCCAUGUGUAGCGGUGAAAUGCGCAGAGAUAUGGAGGAACACCAGUGGCGAAGGCGACUUUCUGGUCUGUAACUGACGCUGAUGUGCGAAAGCGUGGGGAUC
rnacentral:rRNA from 1 species